rnacentral:tmRNA from 1 species
GGGGGUGACAGGUUUCGACUACGUUUGCUGAGGCAGGGGAAGCGAGCCGAGGAAGCCGACGUCGUCUCGAAAAUCGUCGUCGGAAACCAAUAAGCGCCAAGAACAGUCGCGCUGCGUACGCCCUCGCCGCCUGAGGCGAGUGACGUCGCUGUCGGUCUAGGAGGGCCUUCGGCCUAGUUAACCGGCAUCAGUUAGAAGGCUGGCCAAGCAGAUCCGGUCGCGGGGUCUGUGCGGUGAGAUUAAUCGCGACUGGGCCCGUCACACCGACUCGCUCGCGUGAUCGGAGGGGCCGAGUAGAGGCACAGCGAGCUGCGCUCGGAGAAGCCCUGGCAACGCGACGGAGGACCCGGGUUCGAUUCCCGGCACCUCCACC